UGAACAUGACGGUUAAAAUCCUUCCUUUACCA
rnacentral:tRNA from 4 species